rnacentral:rRNA from 1 species
UACGUAGGGGCAAGCGUUGUCCGGAAUCAUUGGGCGUAAAGAGCGCGUAGGCGGUCCGGUAAGUCCGCUGUGAAAGUCAAGGGCUCAACCCUUGAAUGCCGGUGGAUACUGCCGGGCUAGAGUCCGGAAGAGGCGAGUGGAAUUCCUGGUGUAGCGGUGAAAUGCGCAGAUAUCAGGAGGAACACCAAUGGCGAAGGCAGCUCGCUGGGACGGUACUGACGCUGAGGCACGAAAGCGUGGGAGCAACAGG